rnacentral:rRNA from 1 species
UGUGUAGGCGGGAACGUAAGCGCUUUGUGAAAUCCCCCGGCUUAACCGGGGAAUUGCUUGGCGAACUGCGUUUCUUGAGGCAAGCAGGGGUACAUGGAACUCUUGGUGGAGCGGUGGAAUGCGUAGAUAUCAAGAGGAACGCCGAUGGUGAAGACAGUGUACUGGGCUUGUCCUGACGCUGAAACACGAAAGCGUGGGGAGCAAACGGGAUUAGAUACCCCGGUAGUCCACGCUGUAAACGAUGUCUACUAGGUUGCGGUGGUUCUGACACCGGCGCGACCGAAGCAAAAGUGUUUAGUAGACCGCCUGGGGAGUACGGUCGCAAGGCUAAA